rnacentral:rRNA from 1 species
GACGUAGGAGGCGAGCGUUGUCCGGAUUCAUUGGGCGUAAAGAGCACGCAGGCGGUUUGGCAAGUCGGAUGUGAAAACCCGAAGCUCAACUUCGGGCCUGCAUCCGAAACUGCCGUGCUUGAGGACUGGAGAGGAGACUGGAAUUUACGGUGUAGCGGUGAAAUGCGUAGAUAUCGUAAGGAAGACCAGUGGCGAAGGCGGGUCUCUGGACAGUUCCUGACGCUGAGGCACGAAGGUCAGGGGAGCAAACGGG